rnacentral:rRNA from 1 species
UAACAUGCAGUCGACGGCAGCACGGACUUCGGUCUGGUGGCGAGUGGCGAACGGGUGAGUAAUACAUCGGAACGUGCCCAGUUGUGGGGGAUAACUACUCGAAAGAGUAGCUAAUACCGCAUGAGAACUGAGGUUGAAAGCAGGGGAUCGCAAGACCUUGCGCAACUGGAGCGGCCGAUGGCAGAUUAGGUAGUUGGUGGGAUAAAAGCUUACCAAGCCGACGAUCUGUAACUGGUCUGAGAGGACGACCAGCCACACUGGGACUGAGACACGGCCCAGACUCCUACGGGAGGCAGCAGUGGGGAAUUUUGGACAAUGGGCGGAAGCCUGAUCCAGCAAUGCCGCGUGCAGGAUGAAGGCCUUCGGGUUGUAAACUGCUUUUGUACGGAACGAAAAGCUUCGGGUUAAUACCCUGGAGUCAUGACGGUACCGUAAGAAUAAGCACCGGCUAACUACGUGCCAGCAGCCGCGGUAAUACGUAGGGUGCAAGCGUUAAUCGGAAUUACUGGGCGUAAAGCGUGCGCAGGCGGUCUUGUAAGACAGAGGUGAAAUCCCCGGGCUCAACCUGGGAACUGCCUUUGUGACUGCAAGGCUGGAGUGCGGCAGACGGGGAUGGAAUUCCGCGU